UACGUAGGGUGCGAGCGUUGUCCGGAAUUACUGGGCGUAAAGAGCUCGUAGGUGGUUCUGUGCGUUGUUCGUGAAAACUCACAGCUCAACUGUGGGCGUGCGGGCGAUACGGGCAGACUGGAGUACUGCAGGGGAGACUGGAAUUCCUGGUGUAGCGGUGGAAUGCGCAGAUAUCAGGAGGAACACCGGUGGCGAAGGCGGGUCUCUGGGCAGUAACUGACGCUGAGGAGCGAAAGCGUGGGGAGCGAACAGG
rnacentral:rRNA from 1 species